UGCCCGUUCCUCUGCGCCUGCGCCCGCCCCCGGCGCCGCCAUGCGUGGAGCUGAAUCCAAGCAUCGCCCGUGUUGCUAGGUCUGGGCGAAAACCCUAGUAGCGGCGCUCGCGCCUGACUGCGCCCUUUAAACUCUGUAAGAACACUUGUGGGACAGAGGAUGACGCCUCCGCCGAGGUCGCCACGAUGAAUCCCACGGGCGCAAGCUGCUGCUGCUCGUCGACGAUCUGGUUAUCCGUUCACCCCACUUGGCCUUCUUCUACUCGCUCCAGGCCCGCGUGCUCGAUCUGGAAUCCCUCCUCGCCGACAACCCCAAGCUCUCGGCCCACCGCUAUAGCAAUACCUCUACGACGGCCUCGUCCUCUUCGCCCCACGUUUUGGUGGAUCAGUGGGCAUAGUAGUACGCUAUCCGAUGGUGCAUUGCCUGACACUAUGGAACCUGCUGUUACCCAAAAUACUGAAUAGAACUCUGAAUUGCCAUUUCCUGAUACACAUGUUGAGGUUUAUUUAUAAUGCACAUUUCCCCUGUCAAAAGGCUAGCACCUUCUGCUCUUGCAAGAAUCAGUGUGGCAGAAUCAAUGUUAUAGGGCUCCAGGUAAGUACUCUAGAUGCUUUAUUCCCUUUUUAUUUUGUCUGUACAUAAUUAGGAUUUAGGAACCGACUGAUGGACCAAUUGUGAUUGUGAAAAAUGUCAUUUUAAUUU